UGGGUUUAGUUCUUUAAACAGUGUCUUUUGA
rnacentral:piRNA from 1 species